rfam:Ornithorhynchus anatinus chromosome X1, whole genome shotgun sequence.
AGCAGCGUGGCUCAGUGGAAAGAGCCCGGGCUUGGGAGUCAGAGGCCACGGGUUCGAAUCCCGGCUCUGCCA